GAAUGUUAGAUAGAUCUCUCUCCCCUUGAGCCCAACGGCUCAAGAGGGCCUUGACCGCGCCCUGAUCGGGGGCGCCCAGCCCAAUGGCUGGUGGGCCCCCGUCACACUGCGCCAUAUAAAAGAGGGGUGGAGGCCGGCACGGCACAUGGUACGAGAUUCACCGCCGCCGCCAACUCCACCCUACAAACCCUAAUCCGAUCGAGAGGGGGCGCAGCCAGUGACGGGAAGCGCCACCGCCGCGCCAGACCUCAUCGCCGGGACAUCUACGACCGUCACUCCCGCAGCCGUCAUCGCCGUCGACCUCACCGGCGCCGCAUCCACGACAACCGAGCGCCAACGACGACGAUGGCCGGCACUUCUUCAUCCUCCAACACCUCAACCGAUUCUCCUCAAGGACUGCGACAAGAUUGAAGCUCAUGCUUAGCAGGAAAACCAUUUUUUUUUUACGGAAAGCAGGAAAACCAUUUGAAAUACCUAUGGAAAUAUCCCUACACAUGUGUUAACCAUGAUGAUCUUUUUCUUUUCGAAAUACUGUAAGGCAGGUAUAUCCAUCAUCUUUGUCAUCUACAACUGCCUUAGCUAUACAAAUAUUCAACUCUCAAAGUAGUUUGGUAGCUAAUUAAUCAGACAGGUGAUGUAAAUGUAUACAUCGUCCAUUGAUUCACAGUGGAUACUCAGUUGUUGCAUUUAAAUGUCUCUUUUCAGGAACCAUAAGUUCAUUUACAUGGCUAUUUUAAGA